GGGUUGUGAGGUUAAGCGACUAAGCGUACACGGUGGAUGCCCUGGCAGUCAGAGGCGAUGAAGGACGUGCUAAUCUGCGAUAAGCGUCGGUAAGGUGAUAUGAACCGUUAUAACCGGCGAUUUCCGAAUGGGGAAACCCAGUGUGAUUCGUCACACUAUCAUUAACUGAAUCCAUAGGUUAAUGAGGCGAACCGGGGGAACUGAAACAUCUAAGUACCCCGAGGAAAAGAAAUCAACCGAGAUUCCCCCAGUAGCGGCGAGCGAACGGGGAGCAGCCCAGAGCCUGAAUCAGUGUGUGUGUUAGUGGAAGCGUCUGGAAAGGCGCGCGAUACAGGGUGACAGCCCCGUACACAAAAAUGCACAUACUGUGAGCUCGAUGAGUAGGGCGGGACACGUGGUAUCCUGUCUGAAUAUGGGGGGACCAUCCUCCAAGGCUAAAUACUCCUGACUGACCGAUAGUGAACCAGUACCGUGAGGGAAAGGCGAAAAGAACCCCGGCGAGGGGAGUGAAAAAGAACCUGAAACCGUGUACGUACAAGCAGUGGGAGCACAGAGCAAUCUGUGUGACUGCGUACCUUUUGUAUAAUGGGUCAGCGACUUAUAUUCUGUAGCAAGGUUAACCGAAUAGGGGAGCCGAAGGGAAACCGAGUCUUAACUGGGCGUUAAGUUGCAGGGUAUAGACCCGAAACCCGGUGAUCUAGCCAUGGGCAGGUUGAAGGUUGGGUAACACUAACUGGAGGACCGAACCGACUAAUGUUGAAAAAUUAGCGGAUGACUUGUGGCUGGGGGUGAAAGGCCAAUCAAACCGGGAGAUAGCUGGUUCUCCCCGAAAGCUAUUUAGGUAGCGCCUCGUGAAUUCAUCUCCGGGGGUAGAGCACUGUUUCGGCAAGGGGGUCAUCCCGACUUACCAACCCGAUGCAAACUGCGAAUACCGGAGAAUGUUAUCACGGGAGACACACGGCGGGUGCUAACGUCCGUCGUGAAGAGGGAAACAACCCAGACCGCCAGCUAAGGUCCCAAAGUCAUGGUUAAGUGGGAAACGAUGUGGGAAGGCCCAGACAGCCAGGAUGUUGGCUUAGAAGCAGCCAUCAUUUAAAGAAAGCGUAAUAGCUCACUGGUCGAGUCGGCCUGCGCGGAAGAUGUAACGGGGCUAAACCAUGCACCGAAGCUGCGGCAGCGACGCUGAUGCGUUGUUGGGUAGGGGAGCGUUCUGUAAGCCUGUGAAGGUGUACUGUGAGGUAUGCUGGAGGUAUCAGAAGUGCGAAUGCUGACAUAAGUAACGAUAAAGCGGGUGAAAAGCCCGCUCGCCGGAAGACCAAGGGUUCCUGUCCAACGUUAAUCGGGGCAGGGUGAGUCGACCCCUAAGGCGAGGCCGAAAGGCGUAGUCGAUGGGAAACAGGUUAAUAUUCCUGUACUUGGUGUUACUGCGAAGGGGGGACGGAGAAGGCUAUGUUGGCCGGGCGACGGUUGUCCCGGUUUAAGCGUGUAGGCUGGUUUUCCAGGCAAAUCCGGAAAAUCAAGGCUGAGGCGUGAUGACGAGGCACUACGGUGCUGAAGCAACAAAUGCCCUGCUUCCAGGAAAAGCCUCUAAGCAUCAGGUAACAUCAAAUCGUACCCCAAACCGACACAGGUGGUCAGGUAGAGAAUACCAAGGCGCUUGAGAGAACUCGGGUGAAGGAACUAGGCAAAAUGGUGCCGUAACUUCGGGAGAAGGCACGCUGAUAUGUAGGUGAAGUCCCUCGCGGAUGGAGCUGAAAUCAGUCGAAGAUACCAGCUGGCUGCAACUGUUUAUUAAAAACACAGCACUGUGCAAACACGAAAGUGGACGUAUACGGUGUGACGCCUGCCCGGUGCCGGAAGGUUAAUUGAUGGGGUUAGCGCAAGCGAAGCUCUUGAUCGAAGCCCCGGUAAACGGCGGCCGUAACUAUAACGGUCCUAAGGUAGCGAAAUUCCUUGUCGGGUAAGUUCCGACCUGCACGAAUGGCGUAAUGAUGGCCAGGCUGUCUCCACCCGAGACUCAGUGAAAUUGAACUCGCUGUGAAGAUGCAGUGUACCCGCGGCAAGACGGAAAGACCCCGUGAACCUUUACUAUAGCUUGACACUGAACAUUGAGCCUUGAUGUGUAGGAUAGGUGGGAGGCUUUGAAGUGUGGACGCCAGUCUGCAUGGAGCCGACCUUGAAAUACCACCCUUUAAUGUUUGAUGUUCUAACGUUGACCCGUAAUCCGGGUUGCGGACAGUGUCUGGUGGGUAGUUUGACUGGGGCGGUCUCCUCCUAAAGAGUAACGGAGGAGCACGAAGGUUGGCUAAUCCUGGUCGGACAUCAGGAGGUUAGUGCAAUGGCAUAAGCCAGCUUGACUGCGAGCGUGACGGCGCGAGCAGGUGCGAAAGCAGGUCAUAGUGAUCCGGUGGUUCUGAAUGGAAGGGCCAUCGCUCAACGGAUAAAAGGUACUCCGGGGAUAACAGGCUGAUACCGCCCAAGAGUUCAUAUCGACGGCGGUGUUUGGCACCUCGAUGUCGGCUCAUCACAUCCUGGGGCUGAAGUAGGUCCCAAGGGUAUGGCUGUUCGCCAUUUAAAGUGGUACGCGAGCUGGGUUUAGAACGUCGUGAGACAGUUCGGUCCCUAUCUGCCGUGGGCGCUGGAGAACUGAGGGGGGCUGCUCCUAGUACGAGAGGACCGGAGUGGACGCAUCACUGGUGUUCGGGUUGUCAUGCCAAUGGCACUGCCCGGUAGCUAAAUGCGGAAGAGAUAAGUGCUGAAAGCAUCUAAGCACGAAACUUGCCCCGAGAUGAGUUCUCCCUGACCCUUUAAGGGUCCUGAAGGAACGUUGAAGACGACGACGUUGAUAGGCCGGGUGUGUAAGCGCAGCGAUGCGUUGAGCUAACCGGUACUAAUGAACCGUGAGGCUUAACCUUACAACGCCGAAGGUGUUU
rnacentral:rRNA from 1 species